GGAAGUGUGCCUGAAAAUAAGGACUACUUUGAUAAAGCAGACAUGGAACUAAACACAUUUCCCGCUUCCC
rnacentral:tRNA from 1 species